rnacentral:misc_RNA from 1 species
CUAAGGAAAAAGUAGAGGAUUGUUUCACUGUUCAGGUAUUAAUCCUGAAUUAAAUAUGAUUUCCGGUGGCGAUGCGGUUAGGGGUAACACCCGUACACAUCCCGAACACGAUGGUUAAGACCUAAUCGGCCGAUAAUACUACGUUGGAGACGACGUGGGAAGGUAGGUGGCUGCCGGGUUUGCUAAAACAGCAAGGGAACUUGCUUUCAUAUAUAAAAUCACCUCUAUAAGAGGCGAUCAUUUGAAAGCUUAACAAGAUUAAACUUUCAAAUGGUUGAAAGCGGAAGCUUUUGAUCAAAAUAGCAACUUGAAAACUUCAUACAGUAGAGAUAAAUGAUUUUAAGAAAAUCUUAAAUAUCAAGACAUCCGAGAAUUAACAAACAAACCAAAAGUUCUUAUUGAACAAACUUAAAAUAUCAAGCUACAUAAUUUUGA